GAUGAACGCUGGCGGCGUGCCUAAUACAUGCAAGUCGAGCGAACAGACGAGGAGCUUGCUCCUCUGACGUUAGCGGCGGACGGGUGAGUAACACGUGGAUAACCUACCUAUAAGACUGGGAUAACUUCGGGAAACCGGAGCUAAUACCGGAUAAUAUAUUGAACCGCAUGGUUCAAUAGUGAAAGACGGUUUUGCUGUCACUUAUAGAUGGAUCCGCGCCGCAUUAGCUAGUUGGUAAGGUAACGGCUUACCAAGGCAACGAUGCGUAGCCGACCUGAGAGGGUGAUCGGCCACACUAGAACUGAGACACGGUCCAGACUCCUACGGGAGGCAGCAGUAGGGAAUCGUACGCAAUGGGCGAAAGCCUGACGGAGCAACGCCGCGUGAGUGAUGAAGGUCUUCGGAUCGUAAAACUCUGUUAUUAGGGAAGAACAAAUGUGUAAGUAACUAUGCACGUCUUGACGGUACCUAAUCAGAAAGCCACGGCUAACUACGUG
rnacentral:rRNA from 1 species